AUUAUAAUUUAGCAACUGCCGAAGACAGUAGGUGCUGUGAAGCGUAAGGACAAAACGCCUACCGAGGGAAGUUAGAUUUAUUACGUAUGUAUGAAUUUACAAACCUCUGUGUCUUCCGGCACGGAGGUUUUUUAUUUCGUCC
rfam:Lachnoclostridium sp. An169 An169_contig_14, whole genome shotgun sequence.